AGUCGAACGGUAGCACAGAGAGCUUGCUCUCGGGUGACGAGUGGCGGACGGGUGAGUAAUGUCUGGGAAACUGCCUGAUGGAGGGGGAUAACUACUGGAAACGGUAGCUAAUACCGCAUAACGUCGCAAGACCAAAGAGGGGGACCUUCGGGCCUCUUGCCAUCAGAUGUGCCCAGAUGGGAUUAGCUAGUAGGUGGGGUAACGGCUCACCUAGGCGACGAUCCCUAGCUGGUCUGAGAGGAUGACCAGCCACACUGGAACUGAGACACGGUCCAGACUCCUACGGGAGGCAGCAGUGGGGAAUAUUGCACAAUGGGCGCAAGCCUGAUGCAGCCAUGCCGCGUGUAUGAAGAAGGCCUUCGGGUUGUAAAGUACUUUCAGCGGGGAGGAAGGUGUUGUGGUUAAUAACCGCAGCAAUUGACGUUACCCGCAGAAGAAGCACCGGCUAACUCCGUGCCAGCAGCCGCGGUAAUACGGAGGGUGCAAGCGUUAAUCGGAAUUACUGGGCGUAAAGCGCACGCAGGCGGUCUGUCAAGUCGGAUGUGAAAUCCCCGGGCUCAACCUGGGAACUGCAUUCGAAACUGGCAGGCUAGAGUCUUGUAGAGGGGGGUAGAAUUCCAGGUGUAGCGGUGAAAUGCGUAGAGAUCUGGAGGAAUACCGGUGGCGAAGGCGGCCCCCUGGACAAAGACUGACGCUCAGGUGCGAAAGCG
rnacentral:rRNA from 1 species